rnacentral:rRNA from 1 species
GACGAACGCUGGCGGCGUGCCUAAUACAUGCAAGUCGAACGAAGCUGUUUUAACUGGUGCUUGCACCGACUUAAACAACUGAGUGGCGAACGGGUGAGUAACACGUGGGUAACCUGCCCCAAAGCGGGGGGUAACAUUUGGAAACAGAUGCUAAUACCGCAUAACCACAGAAACCACAUGGUUUCUGUGUCAAAGAUGGUUUCGGCUAUCACUUUGGGAUGGACCCGCGGCGUAUUAGCUAGUUGGUAAGGUAAUGGCUUACCAAGGCAAUGAUACGUAGCCGAACUGAGAGGUUGAUCGGCCACAUUGGGACUGAGACACGGACGAAACUCCUACGGGAGGCAGCAGUAGGGAAUCUUCCAAAAUGGACGAAAGUCUGAUGGAGCAACGCUGCGUGAGUGAAGAAGGUUUUCGGAUCGUAAAACUCUGUUGUCAGAGAAGAACGUGUGCGAGAGUAACUGUUCGUGCAGUGACGGUAUCUGGCCAGAAAGCCACGGCUAACUACGUGCCAGCCGCCGCAGUAA